rnacentral:lncRNA from 1 species
AUUCGUCGGGGAGAAUUUUUUUUUGUUUGUAAUAGAUAAAAAUUUUAGGUUAUGUAAUUGGUAACUUAUUUUAUUUUCAAACCUCUCUUCUACUUAGUUGGUUAGAGCUCCUUUUUAUAUAUUGUGAGUCUUGGGUUCGAUUCCUUCCCCUCCAUUCCAUUGUGUAAAAUUUUUAUUUCUACAAUAUUUAUCAAAAUUGAUUUCCUAAAA